rnacentral:rRNA from 1 species
AGUGAACGCUGGCGGUAGGCCUAACACAUGCAAGUCGAACGGCAGCACAGUAAGAGCUUGCUCUUACGGGUGGCGAGUGGCGGACGGGUGAGGAAUACAUCGGAAUCUACUUUUUCGUGGGGGAUAACGUAGGGAAACUUACGCUAAUACUGCAUACGACCUACGGGUGAAAGCAGGGGAUCUUCGGACCUUGCGCGAUUGAAUGAGCCGAUGUCGGAUUAGCUAGUUGGCGGGGUAAAGGCCCACCAAGGCGACGAUCCGUAGCUGGUCUGAGAGGAUAUCAGCCACACUGGAACUGAGACACGGUCCAGACUCCUACGGGAGGCAGCAGUGGGGAAUAUUGGACAAUGGGCGCAAGCCUGAUCCAGCCAUACCGCGUGGGUGAAGAAGGCCUUCGGGUUGUAAAGCCCUUUUGUUGGGAAAGAAAAGCAGCAGGUUAAUACCCCGCUGUUCUGACGGUACCCAAAGAAUAAGCACCGGCUAACUUCGUG